rnacentral:rRNA from 1 species
UGGGGAAUAUUGGACAAUGGGGGGAACCCUGAUCCAGCCAUGCCGCGUGUGUGAAGAAGGCCUUAUGGUUGUAAAGCACUUUAAGCGAGGAGGAGGGUACUGGUAUUAAUACUACCAGCUACUGGACGUUACUCGCAGAAUAAGCACCGGCUAACUCUGUGCCAGCAGCCGCGGUAAUACAGAGGGUGCGAGCGUUAAUCGGAUUUACUGGGCGUAAAGCGUGCGUAGGCGGCUAAUUGAGUCGGAUGUGAAAUCCCCGAGCUUAACCUGGGAAUUGCAUUCGAUACUGGUUAGCUAGAGUGUGGGAGAGGAUGGUAGAAUUCCAGGUGUAGCGGUGAAAUGCGUAGAGAUCUGGAGGAAUACCGAUGGCGAAGGCAGCCAUCUGGCCUAACACUGACGCUGAGGUACGAAAGCAUGGGGAGCAAACAGG